UUCCCAGACUCCUACGGGAGGCAGCAGUGGGGGAUAUUGCACAAUGGGGGAAACCCUGAUGCAGCGACGCCGCGUGUGGGAAGACGGUCUUCUGGAUUGUAAACCACUGUCCCCAGGGACGAAAAUGACGGUACCUGGGGAGGAAGCUCCGGCUAACUACGUGCCAGCAGCCGCGGUAAUACGUAGGGGGCAAGCGUUAUCCGGAUUUACUGGGUGUAAAGGGAGCGUAGACGGCAGCGCAAGUCUGAAGUGAAAUGCCGGGGCUUAACCCCGGAACUGCUUUGGAAACUGAGCAGCUAGAGUGCAGGAGAGGUAAGUGGAAUUCCUAGUGUAGCGGUGAAAUGCGUAGAUAUUAGGAGGAACACCAGUGGCGAAGGCGGCUUACUGGACUGUAACUGACGUUGAGGCUCGAAAGCGUGGGGAGCAAACAGGAUUAGAUACCCCGGUA
rnacentral:rRNA from 1 species